AUAACGUCGCAAGACCAAAGAGGGGGACCUUCGGGCCUCUCACUAUCGGAUGAACCCAGAUGGGAUUAGCUAGUAGGCGGGGUAAUGGCCCACCUAGGCGACGAUCCCUAGCUGGUCUGAGAGGGUGACCAGCCACACUGGAACUGAGACACGGUCCAGACUCCUACGGGAGGCAGCAGUGGGGAAUAUUGCACAAUGGGCGCAAGCCUGAUGCAGCCAUGCCGCGUGUAAGAAGAAGGCCUUCGGGUUGUAAAGUACUUUCAGCGGGGAGGAA
rnacentral:rRNA from 1 species